rnacentral:rRNA from 1 species
GACGAACGCUGGCGGCGUGCUUAACACAUGCAAGUCGAACGGAAAGGCCCUGCUUUUGUGGGGUGCUCGAGUGGCGAACGGGUGAGUAACACGUGAGUAACCUGCCCUUGACUUUGGGAUAACUUCAGGAAACUGGGGCUAAUACCGGAUAGGAGCUCCUGCUGCAUGGUGGGGGUUGGAAAGUUUCGGCGGUUGGGGAUGGACUCGCGGCUUAUCAGCUUGUUGGUGGGGUAGUGGCUUACCAAGGCUUUGACGGGUAGCCGGCCUGAGAGGGUGACCGGCCACAUUGGGACUGAGAUACGGCCCAGACUCCUACGGGAGGCAGCAGUGGGGAAUAUUGCACAAUGGGCGGAAGCCUGAUGCAGCAACGCCGCGUGCGGGAUGACGGCCUUCGGGUUGUAAACCGCUUUCGCCUGUGACGAAGCGUGAGUGACGGUAAUGGGUAAAGAAGCACCGGCUAACUACGUGCCAGCAGCCGCGGUGAUACGUAGGGUGCGAGCGUUGUCCGGAUUUAUUGGGCGUAAAGGGCUCGUAGGUGGUUGAUCGCGUCGGAAGUGUAAUCUUGGGGCUUAACCCUGAGCGUGCUUUCGAUACGGGUUGACUUGAGGAAGGUAGGGGAGAAUGGAAUUCCUGGUGGAGCGGUGGAAUGCGCAGAUAUCAGGAGGAACACCAGUGGCGAAGGCGGUUCUCUGGGCCUUUCCUGACGCUGAGGAGCGAAAGCGUGGGGAGCGAACAGGCUUAGAUACCCUGGUAGUCCACGCUGUAAACGGUGGGUACUAGGUGUGGGGUCCAUUCCACGGGUUCCGUGCCGUAGCUAACGCUUUAAGUACCCCGCCUGGGGAGUACGGCCGCAAGGCUAAAACUCAAAGGAAUUGACGGGGCCCCGCACAAGCGGCGGAGCAUGCGGAUUAAUUCGAUGCAACGCGUAGAACCUUACCUGGGUUUGACAUGGAUCGGGAGUGCUCAGAGAUGGGUGUGCCUCUUUUGGGGUCGGUUCACAGGUGGUGCAUGGCUGUCGUCAGCUCGUGUCGUGAGAUGUUGGGUUAAGUCCCGCAACGAGCGCAACCCUUGUUCACUGUUGCCAGCACGUUAUGGUGGGGACUCAGUGGAGACCGCCGGGGUCAACUCGGAGGAAGGUGGGGAUGACGUCAAGUCAUCAUGCCCCUUAUGUCCAGGGCUUCACGCAUGCUACAAUGGCUGGUACAGAGAGUGGCGAGCCUGUGAGGGUGAGCGAAUCUCGGAAAGCCGGUCUCAGUUCGGAUUGGGGUCUGCAACUCGACCUCAUGAAGUCCGAGUCGCUAGUAAUCGCAAAUCAGCAACGCUGCGGUGAAUUCGUUCCCGGGGGCU